GCAAGGUUAAAACUCAAAUGAAUUGACGGGGGCCCGCACAAGCGGUGGAGCAUGUGGUUUAAUUCGAUGCAACGCGAAGAACCUUACCUGGUCUUGACAUCCACGGAAGUUUUCAGAGAUGAGAAUGUGCCUUCGGGAACCGUGAGACAGGUGCUGCAUGGCUGUCGUCAGCUCGUGUUGUGAAAUGUUGGGUUAAGUCCCGCAACGAGCGCAACCCUUAUCCUUUGUUGCCAGCGGUCCGGCCGGGAACUCAAAGGAGACUGCCAGUGAUAAACUGGAGGAAGGUGGGGAUGACGUCAAGUCAUCAUGGCCCUUACGACCAGGGCUACACACGUGCUACAAUGGCGCAUACAAAGAGAAGCGACCUCGCGAGAGCAAGCGGACCUCAUAAAGUGCGUCGUAGUCCGGAUUGGAGUCUGCAACUCGACUCCAUGAAGUCGGAAUCGCUAGUAAUCGUGGAUCAGAAUGCCACGGUGAAUACGUUCCCGGGCCUUGUACACACCGCCCGUCACACCAUGGGAGUGGGUUGCAAAAGAAGUAGGUAGCUUAACCUUCGGGAGGGCGCUUACCACUUUGUGAUUCAUGACUGGGGUGAAGUCGUAACAAGGUAACCGUAGGGGAACCUGCGGUUGGA
rnacentral:rRNA from 1 species